rnacentral:misc_RNA from 1 species
UGCUGUUUACUAUAUAUCUAAAUUCUCUCCAUAAAUUAACAUGAGAUGCUAAGACUAUCACAUGUUCACAUCCUGUUUGCAUAGUUUACAACAAAAAAAUAGUGAAGCUGUCAACAGGCACUCUGAUCAGAUAUAAAAACUUCUGCCAGGAAGCAGGCGGUAUUAUGUUUGAUGUUUGGUUUCUCCUUUACUACCACCACUGGCAGUGCCGAUAUCAUACAAAGUCGAAGCAGUUUAUUCCUCCACGUCCACACCACCUCCCUUAAGAUGCAGAUGCUUUUCCCUCUUUUGAAAAUCCGUUAAACCCUUCCCACUUCCAGUGACGCCAACCUUCCCUGUCGGAUCCUCUGGGGACUUGAAUAUGCUCUCCCGCUUGCGACCUGAAAA